AUGUUCCCUGAGAGGUUCUCCACUUUGGCGGGGUUUCCAGGAAGGGCUACUGGCAGAAUUAAAAACUCCAGCUCAGACUUCCCCUUUCUACAUUUUAGUCUAAUCUUGGAAUGCAUUAAAAUAAGCACAUCACAUUUCUUCGUCACGAACAAAAACAAGUCAACUGCUUUGUUUUUUAAUCUAAAGAAAACAUUCCAUAGGCGGAGAAUUGUUAACUGGCCCGCAGCAGCAGCAGCAGCAGGGGACGAGGUUUUGGUUCCGAUUUGCAACGUCUUCCAGAUGGGAGCUUUGUGUGUGAGUUUUGAGGAGUUUGGAAAGUUUGAUUUAAACACUUGCACGAUUGUCCUGUGGGAACAAACCACUUCGAGAAAGUUCUGACUAAUGAGAACUGGAGGUUCUUCAUGCCUACCCUAAAAUCCUGCAGAAUCCUCAGGCAUCCCUGAAAAGAGACGUCGUGUUCUCAAGCGUUGGUUCGGACUCUGGUCACGAGUGAUGUAAGCUGCCUCAAGCUCCUUGGGUCUGGAUUUGGGUGUGUGGGGGGAUUUCAAGGUGUCUGUGGAACCAAAACUCGUGCCUACCUUUCUCUGUAUAUUUAUUUCAUUUUUACCUUCAAAUAUCAGGUUUUUCUUCACACCCCAAAGGGCAGAAAAACAGCAGCCUGACAAUUGUGGAGGUCGUAGGGGAGGAAGAUACUUCCUCUACCUGCUCUGGGUCCUUCUGGCCGGACAAUGAAUUAAAUUCACAUGAGACAGAAUAAGAGGAGAAAAUUAAACAAAACUUUAUCACAUUGUGUACAUGGGAGAGGCUCAGGCAACCUGAGCAACUCACCAGAAUGGCCAAAGCCACCACCUUAAAUAUUAUCUUCAGCUAAAGACAAAGGAAGAUGUUGGGGGUGGGGGGAGUCAGUUAUGGGAGAUUACCAGAAAAACACAGUAAAUAAGAGUCAGGUUAUUAUGCAGACUUGAGUCCUUGCCUUCCACAUUGAUAAGAGUUUCUAGAGAUAAGGUCAUCCCCCCUUCUUCCUGAUACAGAAAGGUAGGCACCUUUACAGAUGGAGAUUUCCCUUACAAUGUAUAUGUCUCUUACAAAGGGUAACUUCUGCUUUUCAGAGUUUCUCUCAUGUCUGCCAUUUUUAAAAGUUAACCAGCCCAAAAUAAUCCUCAUGUCAAAGAGAGGUAUCUUAGGGUGGCCAAUUCCAGUCCCCGACAAGGUACUGAAGAUACUGAUUCAAAUGGAUGGUGCCCCCAUCCAAACUCCCGGGGAAGAGGAGCUGAUUGUCCAGCUGGUGUCCACUGUGCACCACACCUCCAGUCAUCUAUGACCAGAGGCAGGAGCCCGUAGGACAGCCUGGCUGCCAAGGCUUACCCCUGCCAUCCUGAAGAUGGGGAUAAGGGCAGAGUUCUCAAAGGGCAGGAGAAGAGGAGUGUCACCUUUAGGUGUAGAUACACUAAAGUGUCUUUCUGUAACCAAGCUCACUGGGCCCGUCUCUUGGUGAAUAUGGAGCAGAAAAGCACAACCAAAGCUGAAGAGGCUGAAGAAAAAGGUUUAUUGCUUGCACAAGCAAUGGAGAACACCUGGAUAGCUCCCAAAGCAGUGCCCCCAACCCCUGCUUAGUGCGGGUGGAGACUUUAUACCCCAGAGCACAGAGGAUAUGUUACAACUGCAACAACCGGGCCUCAUCAGGGCGCAUGUGCAGGCAUUACAUAACGAGUUCAGUGUCAUCGCAUAAUGAGCUCAACGCAACAUGCCAUUACGUAACAGCUCCAAGGCAGCUUCCUGACAUUUGGAACUGGAGCAAUUUGCAGGGGUCCUGCCGCAUCCCUGUAAGUUCCACUAUAGGGUGGCAACAUCCGCAAAAAUGAGGACAUCAGCUUCUGAAAAACAGCACAUUUAGUUUACUCCUUGUCUGGAAACUUUUGACAGACUAUGUUUCAGUUAUGGAUCAGAUUUUCAUUACCCUACCCUUGCCUGGUUUCUGGUCACAAUUCCACUUUACGGAGUAUGGAAAAUAGUGAAUUAGUACAUUUCAGAAUAAUUUUCAAUAGCCAAGGCACAAUCUAAAAGGUUUUCUGUGUAUAUCUCACAGUUAAGCCAAGAAUUCAAUGAAGCCAGACUUAUUUUUCCCUGCAUCCCACUCAGAUGGGUGCUUACCCAACAGACUGUUCUCCCUUCUUCUUAGCUGGUGGGAUCCCACAUUUAUUUGGGUGUCUGCUCCUCUCUCACAUCAGUCAUGGAAAGAUGCCCCUACCACUGUGUUCAGAAGUGAAUUAGUCUAAUGGUUGUGUUGUGAUCUCAUUUGUCUUUCUAGUGACAGGCUUAGACAUAGGCAUAUGACACAAUUGUGACCAAUAAAACAUGAUAGGGAACCUGCUGAGAGACCUUC
rnacentral:lncRNA from 1 species